AUUGAACGCUGGCGGCAUGCCUUACACAUGCAAGUCGAACGGUAACAGGUCUUCGGAUGCUGACGAGUGGCGAACGGGUGAGUAAUACAUCGGAACGUGCCUAGUAGUGGGGGAUAACUACUCGAAAGAGUGGCUAAUACCGCAUGAGAUCUACGGAUGAAAGCAGGGGAUCGCAAGACCUUGUGCUACUAGAGCGGCCGAUGGCAGAUUAGGUAGUUGGUGGGAUAAAAGCUUACCAAGCCGACGAUCUGUAGCUGGUCUGAGAGGACGAUCAGCCACACUGGGACUGAGACACGGCCCAGAAUCCUACGGGAGGCAGCAGUGGGGAAUUUUGGACAAUGGGCGCGAGCCUGAUCCAGCAAUGCCGCGUGCAGGAUGAAGGCCUUCGGGUUGUAAACUGCUUUUGUACGGAACGAAAAGCCCCGGGUUAAUACCCUGGGGUCAUGACGGUACCGUAAGAAUAAGCACCGGCUAACUACGUGCCAGCCGCCGCGGUAA
rnacentral:rRNA from 1 species